rnacentral:rRNA from 1 species
UACGUAGGUGACCAGCGUUGUCCGGAUUUACUGGGCGUAAAGAGCGCGCAGGCGGUCGUUCAAGUCGAGUGUGAAAGCCCCCGGCUCAACUGGGGAGGGUCACUCGAUACUGAUCGACUUGAAGGCAGGAGAGGGAAGCGGAAUUCCCGGUGUAGUGGUGAAAUGCGUAGAUAUCGGGAGGAACACCAGUGGCGAAGGCAGGUCUCUGGGCUGACACUGACGCUCAUGCACGGAAGCGUGGGGAGCAAACAGG